rnacentral:rRNA from 1 species
GCUUGCUCCUGGAUUCAGCGGCGGACGGGUGAGUAAUGCCUAGGAAUCUGCCUGGUAGUGGGGGAUAACGUCCGGAAACGGGCGCUAAUACCGCAUACGUCCUGAGGGAGAAAGUGGGGGAUCUUCGGACCUCACGCUAUCAGAUGAGCCUAGGUCGGAUUAGCUAGUUGGUGGGGUAAAGGCCUACCAAGGCGACGAUCCGUAACUGGUCUGAGAGGAUGAUCAGUCACACUGGAACUGAGACACGGUCCAGACUCCUACGGGAGGCAGCAGUGGGGAAUAUUGGACAAUGGGCGAAAGCCUGAUCCAGCCAUGCCGCGUGUGUGAAGAAGGUCUUCGGAUUGUAAAGCACUUUAAGUUGGGAGGAAGGGCAGUAAGUUAAUACCUUGCUGUUUUGACGUUACCAACAGAAUAAGCACCGGCUAACUUCGUGCCAGCAGCCGCGGUAAUACGAAGGGUGCAAGCGUUAAUCGGAAUUACUGGGCGUAAAGCGCGCGUAGGUGGUUCAGCAAGUUGGAUGUGAAAUCCCCGGGCUCAACCUGGGAACUGCAUCCAAAACUACUGAGCUAGAGUACGGUAGAGGGUGGUGGAAUUUCCUGUGUAGCGGUGAAAUGCGUAGAUAUAGGAAGGAACACCAGUGGCGAAGGCGACCACCUGGACUGAUACUGACACUGAGGUGCGAAAGCGUGGGGAGCAAACAGGAUUAGAUACCCUGGUAGUCCACGCCGUAAACGAUGUCGACUAGCCGUUGGGAUCCUUGAGAUCUUAGUGGCGCAGCUAACGCGAUAAGUCGACCGCCUGGGGAGUACGGCCGCAAGGAUAG